rnacentral:misc_RNA from 1 species
GUAAAUUUUAAAUUAUUUAUCAGCUAAAUUAUUUUUAAGCAAACACACGUAGAAAUUAAAGAAGAAAUUAUCCUUGCUUAAAUAUCACAAAAUAAAAAUUAACAAAGAGAAGGCAGAAACCAAUCAGAGGACGACCCUGACUCGAUCAAGACUCCUAGCACUCCAUCAACUAUGGUAAAUAAACAACACGACUACAUGGAACAAAGCUUAUAACAACUAGCAACAUACAACUCCACGACCUUGAGUACUAGUGCUCUAUACAUAUGUAAAGAAGCGCCUAGCAGUUGGGGAAUGGGGAGCCACAAGUGGUAGCUACCUUCUUGGCGUUUGGAGAGUUGACAAGCUUUUGGAGGUUUGGAUUUUUCAAGUACUGGCAAAGGCAAGGCCUCUGCUCCUUUAACUUGCUGCAACAAAUGGCUGAGGGUGGGCUUGAAGAUGUCAUUGCACUUGCACAUGGGCUUAACGCAAGUGGGUUACAUGUCACUGCCUGGGACACAUCCAGGAUCUCCCCAGAUAACACAACCACCACAACCAAACAGGCAACACAUGACAUUGUCAUUUUCAUUUUCACAGAACACACCAGAGCCUAGAGGAGACUGGAGAGGCUGUUUCUGUAUGUGGG